UUCUAGGGGCUUUCAGGCGCGAAACCUUCGCAAGGGGGAAACCACGACAAGGAUAAUCCGGAUCCAGGUGCAAAAAGUAAGUCUGACUUAUAACGCCACUGUGAGAAUCCUCU
rnacentral:rRNA from 1 species